UACGGCCCAGCUCCAACUCUCCGGAAGGAACAGGACGCCGCGCCGGCCCCGGCGGCGGCGAUUUGGUUCGCAACCGCGGGCAUACCUCUCCCGCCCGUUAAUUUCUCCUUGACCGCUUCGACGUCCUUGCCGGGAAAGCAAGGAGAGUAUUAUCUGAGAAACACAAAGCCCUUUUGGAUCUUUGGACACUUCAUUAGGAAAGAAUGAUGAAGACUGCAAGAACACUAGCUGCUGAAUAAAUGGUGAGAAAAUGUAAUCACUUCGCCUCUGUGAAAACUCCACCGGCUUGGAUGAUCAUAACCAGGAUCUUUCACCUGUCAUCACUUCACA